AAUCUUCCGCAAUGGACGAAAGUCUGACGGAGCAACGCCGCGUGAGCGAAGAAGGUCUUCGGAUCGUAAAGCUCUGUUGUUAGGGAAGAACAAGUAUCGUUCGAAUAGGGCGGUACCUUUACGGUACCUGACGAGAAAGCCACGGCUAACUACGUGCCAGCAGCCGCGGUAAUACGUAGGUGGCAAGCGUUGUCCGGAAUUAUUGGGCGGAAAGCGCGCGCAGGCGGUUCUUUAAGUCUGAUGUGAAAUCUUGCGGCUCAACCGCAAGCGGUCAUUGGAAACUGGGGAACUUGAGUACAGAAGAGGAAAGCGGAACUCCACGUGUAGCGGUGAAAUGCGUAGAUAUGUGGAGGAACACCAGUGGCGAAGGCGGCUUUCUGGUCUGUAACUGACGCUGAGGCGCGAAAGCGUGGGGAGCAAACAG
rnacentral:rRNA from 1 species